rnacentral:rRNA from 1 species
GGCCUUUUGAAUUUAAUAUAAGGUCUGACCUGCCCAGUGAUAGUUUUAACGGCCGCGGUAUACUGACCGUGCAAAGGUAGCAUAAUCAUUAGUCUUUUAAUAGAGGGCUGGAAUGAAAGGUUUCACGAGGAACUGGCUGUCUCAUUUUAUUUGUUUUAAAAUUUAAUUUUUUAGUUAAAAAGCUAAAAUUUUAUUGGUAGACGAGAAGACCCUAUAGAGCUUUACAUAUAAUUAAAUAAAUAUUUUUAUAUUAAUAUUUUUAUUUAUUUUUGUGUUUUGUUGGGGUGACAAAAAUAUAUAACUAACUUUUUUAUUUACUUUACAUUGAUUUAUGAAUAUUAGAUCCAAUAUUAUUGAUUAUUAGACUAAGUUACCUUAGGGAUAACAGCGUAAUCCUCCUCCAGAGUUCAUAUUUACAGGAUGGGCUUGCGACCUCGAUGUUGGAUUAAGAUGAUAAUUAGGUGUAGCCGCUUAAUUGAUAGGUCUGUUCGACCUUUAAAUUCUU